UAUAUUGAAUGGCAUCAUUCGAUAUUGAAAACUCCGGUGGAUAGAGAUGGGCACGCGCAAGAUUAGAUAGUUGGUGAGGUAACGGCUCACCAAGUCUGCGAUCUUUAGGGGGCCUGAGAGGGUGAUCCCCCACACUGGUACUGAGACACGGACCAGACUCCUACGGGAGGCAGCAGUGAGGAAUAUUGGACAAUGGGUGAGAGCCUGAUCCAGCCAUCCCGCGUGAAGGACGACGGCCCUAUGGGUUGUAAACUUCUUUUGUAUAGGGAUAAACCUAGAUACGUGUAUCNNAGCUGAAGGUACUAUACGAAUAAGCACCGGCUAACUCCGUGCCAGCAGCCGCGGUAAUACGGAGGGUGCAAGCGUUAUCCGGAUUUAUUGGGUUUAAAGGGUCCGUAGGCGGAUCUGUAAGUCAGUGGUGAAAUCUCACAGCUUAACUGUGAAACUGCCAUUGAUACUGCAGGUCUUGAGUGUUGUUGAAGUAGCUGGAAUAAGUAGUGUAGCGGUGAAAUGCAUAGAUAUUACUUAGAACACCAAUUGCGAAGGCAGGUUACUAAGCAACAACUGACGCUGAUGGACGAAAGCGUGGGGAGCGAACAGGAUUAGAUACCUGGUAGUCCACGCCGUAAACGAUGCUAACUCGUUUUUUGGGAUUUAGGUUUCAGAGACUAAGCGAAAGUGAUAAGUUAGCCACCUGGGGAGUACGUUCGCAAGAAUGAAACUCAAAGGAAUUGACGGGGGCCCGCACAAGCGGUGGAUUAUGUGGUUUAAUUCGAUGAUACGCGAGGAACCUUACCAAGGCUUAAAUGGGAAAUGACAGGUUUAGAAAUAGACUUUUCUUCGGACAUUUUUCAAGGUGCUGCAUGGUUGUCGUCAGCUCGUGCCGUGAGGUGUUAGGUUAAGUCCUGCAACGAGCGCAACCCCUGUCACUAGUUGCCAUCAUUAAGUUGGGGACUCUAGUGAGACUGCCUACGCAAGUAGAGAGGAAGGUGGGGAUGACGUCAAAUCAUCACGGCCCUUACGCCUUGGGCCACACACGUAAUACAAUGGCCAGUACAGAGGGCAGCUACACAGCGAUGUGAUGCAAAUCUCGAAAGCUGGUCUCAGUUCGGAUUGGAGUCUGCAA
rnacentral:rRNA from 1 species